rnacentral:ncRNA from 1 species
AAAAAGAUCUCGACGAGUAGAGUAAUCGAUUGUAGUUUAUUACAGAGAGUCGCUGAAUGGUGAGAGGCGAUUGGACAAGAUUGAUGAACAUGGACUCAGAAUGAUCAAUACUGGUGAUAUUUAGUCAGUGUCGGUUUUGCAGCCGUUAUCUCUGCAAACUAUUGUCAGAUAGUUAGCGAGACUAUUGCGCGCAAGCGGGUAGUAAAUAAAGGUGGUAUCACGAAGCAUUCGUCCUUUAA